GGGCCGGUGGCGCAGUCUGGUAGCGCGCCCGCUUGGCAUGCGGGAGGUUCGGGGGUUCGAAUCCCCCCCGGUCCA
rnacentral:tRNA from 1 species